rnacentral:lncRNA from 1 species
GGGGCAAUCUAUGCUACUGUCAAAAAAAAAAAAAUAUCCAUCUAAUUUGAUAUCACAAAAAAAAAUGACUAAAUUAAAUGACACUACUAGAAAGGGUGAUACUUACAGACCAAACGAUAAAAGAAAAAAGAGAAAGGGUUACCGAAUGAAAGCAUUUUCCAGCUGAAUUUAGUUGUGAUUUGUUGUUCGUUGUUCGCCGGUUCAUCGAGCUUCGAGCUCUGCCGGAGUUGGACUUUGGGUGGUUUCCCCGUUGUGUUGUUGUCGGAGCUGGCAUGGUGUUGGGUCUGGUAGUGCAUUGAGCUGACUGUUGGUGGUUUUGGGUCGGUUUGGAGGUUGGAAUUGGUGGUUUGUGGUGGCUUUUGGUUGGGGUUUAUGGGGUUUUGGUUGACUGUUGUUUGCUGGUAAAUUUGGGGGUUUCAGGUGGUGGUUUGGCGGUUGUAGUUCGCUGGCAGUGGCGAGGAGAAGGUAUAGUAAGGGUCUUGGGCGUUUGUUUGGUGGUGAAAGAGGUCGGAAAAGACAGGGGUUUUGAGUGGUUCUCCGAUGGGUUUGAGGAGAAUGAAGGUGAAGUUUUGGGUGAUUUCUCCGGUGGAGUUCUGGUGGGUGGAGUGAUGUGAGGUCAAAAAUACAUAUUUUUAAUUAUUAUUUACCUUACAUUUAUUAUUUAUAUCUGUUUUUUUUGAGCAUGUAUUCUAUGAAUUGUGCUAAAUAGUAUAUUUUAUUUGUAGGAGUAAAUUUGUGUAAAGUUAAAAAAGUUUAAAGCUAAAACGAAUUAAAGAUAAAAGGUUGAAAAAAGAAAUUAAACAAACAGCUUAAUGGAUUAAAUUGAAUAUAAUAAUAUACAAAGAAUAAAUUGAAAUUGCACAAAUUUGCAACGUGUAACUGCCGCCCCGUGACACUCAAGGAAAGCCACAGGAAAUUAAAGUGAGGCGGCUGGGCGACAGCCAUUGUUCACACGGAAUUCAAUUCCGUUUGGGUUUUGGUUUCCCAAUUUAUUUUGGACUCAAUUAUUUUAUUUAGGGUUUACUAUAUCUAUAAACAGUUCAUAAAAAUAAUUAUUGGGAAGAAAAAUUAGAGGAGAUCAAUAAGAGGACAUCAAGUAAAAAGUCGCUCUUUUCUUCUUGUUAUUUUCUUAGAGAUUAGUGGCUAAAUGCCCUUGUUCUGGAGCUGUAGCCACGAAUUAAAUAUUAAUUAUUUGAGAUUUAUAAAUUAAUUCUUGGUUGUCAUUUUAAGUUACUUUUAUAUUCUUACUUUAGUAUUUCUUGAUUGGCCAUCUAGAGAUAAAUAUAUUGUUCAAUCUUAAAAUCGAGAGAGGAGAGACUAGAUAGACCAGAGAAUAUAGAGAGCUCGAUCGACCCAUUUGAUUGAGGUGAUUUAUGUUUAGGAGUGACGCCCGGACGAUCAACUUGCUUGGUUACGAAACAUGAUGAAAUAUAAAUGCUCGCCAGUUAGUAACCCUAUAAAUCAGUAACUUGACAACUAAAAUUAGUUCUAAGCCAAGAAUAUGAUACAUGAGAUCCAAUACAUGCUGCAACCCUGAAAUUUUCCAACUAUUGUAAGUAAUUUUAUUAUUUUGUUCUUGCACUCUUUUCUUUUGACACUCUUAAAUAAAUAAUUAGACAAACAUAAUUUAGUAAAAAUAGUUAAUUGACAAGUCCUUUGGGUUCAAUAAUCUAGUUCUUUUAAGAGCCACUAUAUUACUUGCGCGACAACGUACACUUGCGUGUGCAAUUGGGAGCAACAAGUUUUUGGCGCAACUGCCGGGGACUUAGAAAUUAACUAUUUGUUUAAGUUAUAUUUUUUCUUUUUAUUUAUUUAAGUUUUGCUUUUAUAAGUGUUUUUUUUUUUAGUUUUUUUUUCUUAACAAAUAUUUCUUUUUUUUUAAAUAAUUUGAUACUCUUAUUGAUAUGGAUGAUUGGGAUAAAUCGUGGUUGGUUGAUGAAUGUCCUUUAUGUGAUAUAUGUGGUCGUCAAUAUAUUCAUUGGAAUGGUUGUCCUAAAUCUUAUUCCCUUCCCCCGAACCCCUAUUAUGAUUCUUCUGUUAUUUAUGAUGUUGGUAGAGGCGAUGAAGUGGAGAAUGCAAAACAAGAGGCGCGCAAUGUGAAUUCACUUAUGGAAUGUACGGACAUGCUGGACAAAGUUAAUUCAAAAAUUGCUGAACAAAUGUUUGAAUGUGUGGAAGAGCAAAAAUUAAUCACGAAAUGGCAAGAUGCGCUUGGCGCUAUUCAAUUAGAAAUUACUCAUGACCUAGAGAUUGCAGCCCAACAAAGAGAAAGUUAUAAAGAAGCAGAGAUAGUGAGUCAAUCUUGGCUACAAGAACAAACUCAACUUCUAAAGCUUCAUGAGUCUAUCUGUGAUGGUCUGACAUACAUGACAAGCCAACUGAUUGAAGGAGAGUUGAGCUCACACAAGACAUAUCAAUUUGGCUCAGAUAUUCAUGACUUAGAGGCUCACUUGAUCAAAAAGAUUGAGGCGUCUGAUGCCCAAUUAUUAAUUGUUGUGGAUGAUGACCAACUAGUGGAGCAAAAAGAGGAAUUCCAACCAUUCAACUAUACCUUAUUCCUUAAUAUCGAUGUUGAGAAAGAGUACAAAAGUGAGAAUGUUGUAAAAAAAUGUUGCUUUGGAGUUGAGGCAACUUGAAUCUCAUUCAAAACACUUUUCUAUAAAAUUUGAACUAAUGAAUGAGUGUAUUGAAGAAGAACAAGGCCCCUACAUUCUAAAGUUUUUUAGUCCACGUAGACAAAACGACAUUCCUCACUUAAGGGCCAAGAAAUGCAAGAUGCGACAUAUAUUACUUGGUUCCUUUAUCUUUAUACCACCACCCCUUGAGAGAAGCAGAAAAAUUGAUGCAAAGUUAGGGGUAAAAUUCAUAAGUUCAAAGUGGAAACAAAAGUGGUGAAUUUAUUUGUGUCGUGCUGCGACGUUAAAUUAGGCGCUUAUUGGGAGGCAACCCAAUUUAUAGUGUAACUUCUUCUUCUUCUUUUUUUGCGUAAUUCUUUUGUGUUGUUUUUACAGGUUUUGGAGAAUUCUGAGAAUUCAAAAUUUGGAGUUAAGGAGUACGUUUGAGCUUAAGUGUGGGGUGACGACCCUUGGUGAAAAUUGAGAGAACAUGCUACUAGCUAGGCCUAAAGGCCUCAAGGAGUUUUUCUAACCCUUGUUUUAAAUUUUAUUUGAUGCUUUGGGGACAUAGCAUAUUUUUAAGUGUGGGGUGGAGGAAUAAAUUCCUAGUUUUUACUGUUUUAUUGAGUCUUUUCUUUUAUAGGAUGAGUUCCUUGGCUUUUGUUUUCGGUUCUUUUCCUAAGGAUAGUCCCUUUGAACCGAGUGUCUUUUAUUUUUUUAGAAAUAAUUUUUUAUUUUUUAUAUUUUUGAGAGAAAAGAAAAGACCCUUUUGAGUGGUGUGAUACUUGUUAUUUAGGCCUAAUUUUUUUUUGAGUAGUAUUUUCUUAUGAAUGCUUGAUUAAUAAAAAAAAAUGCAAACUCUUUGACGCCUAAGCUCAUGGUUGUGAUUUUGUAUAUAACUUAUUUUAUUUUGUAGUUUGUUAUGAUCCCGUCUCUCUUAGAAGUGGAAUUGAUCCAUCUUGAUUGAUACUUGUGCCAUGUGUGGUGAGAAUGUGUUUAUUCCAUGUUUUGCAUCAUAGUCUAGAAUUUGCCCUGCAUGUUAUUGAAGCGAAAUAAAAAGUGUUGUUUUGUUUAGGAGAUGAUAAUAGGCUUUCUUUGAUUUGUCUUAUAAACUUUAGCUUUUUCAGAUAUAUAUCACUAGUAGCCCCGUUGAGCCUGUAGGUUUUUAUUGGUAGUCAUAUUUUUACUUUGACUUUUUUGUUGAAUCCUUAGUUUUUGCACCCUGCUUCCUUGAGCACUGUAGCAUAGACUUAUUCUAAUUAUCAAUUUUGAGAAAAAGGGAUGGUUGAGUGAAAAGGUAAUCAAUGAUAGCUACAAAGUGCUUAAAAGCCCUCUUUGAAAGAAUGUGAUGUAAAAAAAAAGAAUGAACAAAAGAAGUUACCUUGAUGAUGGCCCUGGUCCUUCCAAGGACAUUGUGCACCUUAAUGUAUGUAAAAUACGUAAGUUGAGGGUGACUAUUAUGAAGGAAAACUUAAAAUAAAAAUUUUUUUAAAAAAUGAUUGAAACAUUCUUGAGAUGAUGAGAAUUACUUGUGAAAUAAUUGGUGAAUAGAAGACUGAAAAUAAAGAAGAAAAUAAUGGGUGAUGAAGUCUUAAAGUGCAAAGUGCUUAAGGAAGUGUAAGUCACUAUUACAUAGUUUUCCUACCCGUCCCCUAGCCUACAGUACGACCCGUUUAAGUCCUAUUUGAUUAUAUUAAAGAAUGCUUAAUUAGUGGAGAUGUACAUAAUGGGCAAGCAUAUGGUUCUUUGUGCAUACAUGUGAAUUUUCUUUGUGAGUGUGAGAGUUGUUCUUGAUAUGAAGUCUUUAAUUUAUAUUCAAUCUUUUGAAUUGAGUGUGUGGACUAUUUCUUCUUGUGAGGGCACUUGUUUCAUGAUGGAUAGGUGAUUUUAUUAACUUUCUUUGAUGAGAAUAGGGGAGCAAGCUUAAAUUUGAUGAGUUCAAAGUAUUUCCUUGAAGUAGGAUGUUAGAGGUUUGUUGUUUAUUUGGAUGUCUUGCAUAAUGAUUGAUAAAUGUACUUGAUGCUUUGAAAUUGGUAUAUGGUCUAAUUGUUUGUAAUCACCAAAGUGAUGACAUUCCUAGUAUGAUGUAUUUAAGAUGAGCUUUAAUGUGUGCUCGAGGACGAGCAAAAAUUUUAAGUGUGGGGUGUGAUGUGAGGUCAAAAAUACAUAUUUUUAAUCAUUAUUUGCCUCACAUUUAUUAUUUAUAUCUGUCCUUUUUGAGCAUGUAUUCUAUGGAUUGUACUAAAUAGUGUAUUUUAUUUGUAG